UGGGGAAUAUUGCACAAUGGGCGCAAGCCUGAUGCAGCCAUGCCGCGUGUGUGAAGAAGGCCUUCGGGUUGUAAAGCACUUUCAGCGAGGAGGAAGGGUAGUGUGUUAAUAGCACAUUGCAUUGACGUUACUCGCAGAAGAAGCACCGGCUAACUCCGUGCCAGCAGCCGCGGUAAUACGGAGGGUGCAAGCGUUAAUCGGAAUUACUGGGCGUAAAGCGCACGCAGGCGGUUUGUUAAGUCAGAUGUGAAAUCCCCGCGCUUAACGUGGGAACUGCAUUUGAAACUGGCAAGCUAGAGUCUUGUAGAGGGGGGUAGAAUUCCAGGUGUAGCGGUGAAAUGCGCAGAGAUCUGGAGGAAUACCGGUGGCGAAGGCGGCCCCCUGGACAAAGACUGACGCUCAGGUGCGAAAGCGUGGGGAGCAAACA
rnacentral:rRNA from 1 species